UGGUCCAUACAUGCAUUAAAGUAAUAGUUAAAACGUUCACAAGUUAAUAUAUCCAUAUUAAUACAUGAUUAAAGGCAUAUAAAUCCGAGAACUGCGGAGUUCAAAAAUGACUAGAAGUAACAAAGUUCUUAUAUACAACAAUUAAUUAAAAUCAGAAACUAGAUAUUUACUCUUGUAGCUUUGCGGAGAAGCAUGCAGAGCUUUAAGCGACUCAAUGGAAAUCCUAUUUCUUGAAAAGUUAAACAAGAGAGGAGUUUUGCAACUCAGUGAAUAAUAAUAAAUAAUAAAUAACACAGGCAUUCAUGUGAAAUGCAUCCUAAAAUACUAAAGUGCGCAUACUACCAGUCAAGUAUAUGGCACAACAUCAACACUCACAAGUAAUUUCACCUUCAAAUAAUCAACAAGUGGAAAUUAGUCAGUGGCGCCAUCGAAAACCCCGACGAGCCAUCCUCUCACAUGGCCCGCCCUCUCAAACGUGUGCACUCGAGAGCCGAUCUCCCAUACUUGGCCGACCAGUCUAAUCCUCACUUGAUCACCCCUCUCCCAUAUUUACUUUUUAUAUACUCUCUUUUCUUUUUCAUACCAACAGGCAGCCACUUCGUGGUUUUUCCAUAUCAUAUAACAUCAGGAACACACGGGGGCGCCGAUCUCCCCAUACCUGACUGAUGGUAUCUCAGACUGCCCUUACAAACCUGUGUUGGCCCACUUCAUUUCAAUUCCACACAAACAAAGCAUAGCAAAUUCACAGCACAAGUAAUCGAGCAGUUCAUUCAACGUAAUGCACCAAAUCAAUCUUUAAUGCGCAACAUAAAAACAAAAUUAUAUACUAGUAUUAGCAUAAAACAAGUAUGAUACAAGUGUAUAUAGUUAUAUUAAUAAUAAUUUAAUAAUAUGAAAGGAAUAUUAAAUUAUCAUUUAUAUAUAUAAUAUAAGGUAUAUGAUAUGCAUAUGCAAUGAUGGUAUAUGCACUAUUUAUUAUUACUCACAGUGAUAGAGAAAAGAAAGUGCUCUAUCUCGGAUUUUGACUUGCGGGAGCAGUAGACAGGUUCUGACGAUUUAAAGAACUUAAAAAUGCAAAGAAAAGAAUUGGAUCAGACAAAGGACUAAUUUAAAUGGAGAAUUAAGGAAUUAAUCUAAUAAAUUAUCUAUGUAUCUAACUGCUAUAACUAGAGUAGAUUUUACCGAAAUUUCGGCAGUACCUCCCCUAAUAAUAAGACUAUCUACCUGCUAGAAUAACACAAUAAUAUUAAAUAUCUCAAUCAAUAAACACAGCCCAUCCGUCGGGCGAUCAAGCAGUCAAAUCUCCCUUCCUCCAUCCAAAAAAUAAUACUAAUAUUUAAUCAUCAAUAUAAAACUUUAAUUUUACUACAUAAAGUUAAGCAAAUAAGCACAUAGCUAAAUAGAUAAAUAGAUGAAAUUGAUAUUGGCUUGACCUUUACAUCCUACCAGUAUAACUAUCUAAAUAUAUAUAUACCUUUAAUAAUCAUAAGCAACUAUAAUUUAUAAAAUCUUUUAUUUCCUUCAUUAUUAAUUAAGAUUUCGUAUAUUCCAUUUAAUGAUCCACGAAUCACCGUCUUCACCAUAUGUGAUCAUAGCUAACGAUCCCAUUUUAAUCGUCCAUCGAAUAUAAAUAAGCCGUUAUAUGUAUUGACCAACAUGGAAACUUAAAAAUUACACUCACUUAUAUAUGUUAGUCAUUCUACAACAACUCAAGGUCUCAACAUAAUUGCUACCAAUACACAAAUUCAAAGUUCUUCUACACUAAAAUCUUGGAUUACACAUCAACUAACCAAUUUCUUGUAGAAAAAUAAACUUAGAACUCAACUGUACUAUAUCAAGCAAUAAUUUAAAAGAAUAAUUAAAAACAGUUGCUGCCAUUUCAAGAGACUUCUCAUUCCUACACAUAACUUGGUGUAAACAUGACAACCCCACUCAACCUCAUCAAGAAGCUCAAAUAAUAGUUCCCAAAUAGCAAUGUUCAAUAAAAUUUCUAAGCAAUUUACACAGGCAGUAGUGAGAAAUGCCCAUUUCUAUAUCAAAAUUACUUUAUACAUCACCUCCCAUUAAUAAAAUUUAAAGAAUUUAUAACUAUACUGAGACUGGUUAGAAGUUAAUUACCUAGUUACAAAAUAGCGUUGGAAAAAUGAAUUUUCCGAUUAAAUGACUGGAAACAGAUCUAAUUGUCCAAAAUAUGCCACUGCCGACGAUAGCUUGGCCGGAAUUUAUGAGAAUGGUGGCCGAAAAUACGCUGGUGAGGAGUUGAUAACGAAAGAGGAGAUAGUUUCGCUGGCUGGUCUUGCCACAAAGGCGAGAAGAAUGCAGACGAUGCUACUGCCCGAUCGAAACGCAACUGCAGCUCUUUGUGUUAGCUGCGUUGGCCGGAAGCGACAGGAGGGAGUGAAGGAGAGACCGGAGCUUCUUCGUCGACGGGAGAGAAGCCAACGUCACUGGAAAGUCGAGGAGCAGGAGGCUAGACGCGACUUCUCGAUCGAAGGAGGUCGCAGCUCUCCUGCGCCUUCUAUCCGCGCCAGAAACGAAAGGAAAGGAGAACGGAUGGCUACAACUGCUGCGGCGAGGAGGCGUGGCGCUGGUCUCUGGUGGUCGGAAAAAAGAGAGGAGGAGAGGGGGAGGGUGAGGCCGGCGCUGAAAAUGUGAUAGGGGAGGGUUUCUAGAAUUGUUUAGGGUUUUUUUUUUUUUGGUUUGGUUUGGUUCGCGUUGGGUUCCGUCCAAAUCAUGGUUAGCUUGGUUUUUCUAUUGGUUUGUUGAUUUUCUUUAAGUUUGAAUUGGUUUAUAAAAUUUGGUCUAGCAAUAUAAAAUGCACUUAGUUAAAUAAUUUCAUAGGGUAUUAAUUAAUGUAUUUUAAAUAUAAUAAUAUUCUAUAAUAUCAUUGGUUUAGAAUUAACAAUU
rnacentral:lncRNA from 1 species